rnacentral:rRNA from 1 species
AACGAACGCUGGCGGCAGGCCUAACACAUGCAAGUCGAGCGCCCUUUCGGGGGAGCGGCGGACGGGUGAGUAACGCGUGUGAAUAUGCCCUUCUCUACGGAAUAGCCUCGGGAAACUGAGAGUAAUACCGUAUACGCCCUUUGGGGGAAAGAUUUAUCGGGGAAGGAUUAGCCCGCGUUGGAUUAGGUAGUUGGUGGGGUAAUGGCCUACCAAGCCGACGAUCCAUAGCUGGUUUGAGAGGAUGAUCAGCCACACUGGGACUGAGACACGGCCCAGACUCCUACGGGAGGCAGCAGUGGGGAAUCUUAGACAAUGGGGGCAACCCUGAUCGAGCCAUGCCGCGUGAGUGAUGAAGGCCUUAGGGUUGUAAAGCUCUUUCAGCUGGGAAGAUAAUGACGGUACCAGCAGAAGAAGCCCCGGCUAACUCCGUG